rnacentral:rRNA from 1 species
CGCCGGCCGACCGGCGGCACGGUGGAGGUAACACGUAUGCAACCUGGCCGUGACAGAUGGAUAACCGGGAGAAAUCCCGCCUAAUACAACAUAAUGCCGGGAGGGGGACAUCCCCUGCCGGCCAAAGGGGGCGACCCCGGUCACGGAUGGGCAUGCGGCGCAUUAGGUAGUUGGUGGGGCAACGGCCCACCAAGCCGACGAUGCGUAGGGGUUCUGAGAGGAAGGUCCCCCACAUUGGAACUGAGACACGGUCCAAACUCCUACGGAAGGCAGCAG